AUUGAACGCUGGCGGCAGGCCUAACACAUGCAAGUCGAGCGCGCGGCGGACGGGUGAGUAAUGUCUGUGAAACUGUCCGUUGGAGGGGGAUAUCUACUGUAAACGGUAUCUAAUACCGCAUACCCUCAGAUGUGCCCACAUGUGAGUAGCUCGUAGGUGGGGGAACGGCUCACCUAGGCGACGAUCCCUAGCUGGUCUGAGAGGAUGACCAGCCACACUGGAACUGAGACACGGUCCAGACUCCUACGGGAGGCAGCAGUGGGGAAUAUUGCACAAUGGGCGCAAGCCUGAUGCAGCCAUGCCGCGUGUGUGAAGAAGGCCUUCGGGUUGUAAAGCACUUUCAGCGGGGAGGCGUUACCCGCAGAAGAAGCACCGGCUAACUCCGUGCCAGCAGCCGCGGUAAUUC
rnacentral:rRNA from 1 species